AUCACCGAAGUCAAGCAUCAUUGGGCGCAGUCAGUACUUGGGUGGGUGACCACCUGGGAACACCGCGUGCCGUUUU
rnacentral:rRNA from 1 species